rnacentral:sRNA from 1 species
CUGGGACACCAACCCCUCUCCUUAUCCUUACCUCUAGUUUCAGGCUGCCAUGGAAGGAAUAGUUUCCUACACUGACACGCUUUUCACUGUGAUCUACUGUCUUUCCAUAGGCUGAAGGCCAUGAUACCAAGUAACUAUGGACCGCAACUCAUGGGAAAUAAAAAAGAGAAAGGAAGCUGUGGAAAAGGGCCUGAGUCAGUGAUGAGCUGGAAGCCCCUGGGGACAUCCAGAAGGCCUAGGGACUUCCCCCACCCAAGGUUCCACAUUCCUCCAUGGAAGCAAGUCCAGGAUGUUGAAGCAGAAAAAGAAAACCAUGUUCAAGGCAAUUGUGAAACACAUUGGUGGGUACAUCAGAGAAGCAGGUCACAGCAAGGCAGAUAGGCCUCAGAUGGGAUCUAGAGCAUUCUUUACCAUUUGAGGGGUUGCAUCAACAGAGAAAAACACAUGAAGGAACACACAGAGAAAGAGACAAACAGCAGAGUUUAUCUAGUGUACCUUUGACUCAGAGUUUGUGGACGAGAACGGAAAGAAAUCAGAGAGCUGACAGUGGUGGUAUGAGACCACGGCAUGGGGACAGAAAGCAAGUGUG